AAAAAAAAGAAAGAAAAAAAACCUCUCAACACUUUCCUCUCUCUGCAAGCUCCGAUUGAUGGCCACCGUACCGGCCGUCGGAUCGCCGGUGUCAGUGCCGCUGCGUACGGUGGCUGGCGGAGGUAUAAAAAUGCUUCCUUUUAGAUCUCGACCUCUUGAGUCCGAAUCCGGGCUCAAAACAACCAAAAAACGAAAGAAAAGGGCCCUCAACGCUCCCCUACAGCCGAUUCUGUCACCGAAGAAAGAGCCUCCGACGAUGAGAAUAUGGAUCAACCCCGAGGUGUCAGAUGCGUGGUGAUGGCGUGAGAUGGAGGCUGACGGAAGCAGAUGUAACAGAGGCGGCAAUGGCUAGGGGUGGCACACUAGGGUUUUUUUUGUGUAGUGUUUAGGUGUUGGGAUAAUUGGGCUAGGGUUAGUUUGGGUUAUUGGGUCUUAAUCUGUAUUGGGUUUUUAUUUUUAUUUUUUGCUUGUUUUUGCCUGGGCAAAAUUGGCCCAUAACACCAUCAAUUUAGAUUAAUUUGGAAUGGCAAGACUUGCUUAAUUAGAUAUCAAUUAAAUAGUAUUGGGAACUUUUGGGGUUGAGAAUAAAAUGUUCAUUUGGUUCA